CAGGCAGUGUACAGUAAUGCAGAGCAAGCAUGUAAUCAACAGUCCACAAAUGUGAGAUCUUGUGAUGAGCUAAAUUUCAGCAACAUUGUCAUCUUGGGCAAUACGUUAUACAAGAAACAGCUAGACAAGCUUUCCUCCACUGAUGUAACUGUAAUAUUGGAGGAAAACCUGAGCUUCAAGAAUGUCCCUGAAGUUGUGCAAUAUUAUUGUAAUGCCAGAACUAGAAAUGCAUUGUGGCUCUUACCCUUGGGCAUCUAUAGUCUUGUUGAGUUCUACAAGUGCAGUAAUUGUGACUUUUACAAAUGUUUGCAACCCAUCACAAAAAAUUGCAUAUGAAAUUGAUCAAACCUCAGUUGAAGACAUGAA